UAUGUGAUCGUCUCUCGCAUAUCAAUAAGCGGAGGAAAAGAAACUAACAAGGAUUCCCCUAGUAACGGCGAGUGAAGCGGGAAGAGCUCAAAUUUGAAAUCUUAAAGGGUUUCCCUUUACGAAUUGUAGUUUAAAGAAGUGUUUUCUGUUGAGGUUUUGGUAAAAGUUCUUUGGAAUAGGACAUCAUAGAGGGUGAGAAUCCCGUAUUUGACCUUUACUUUCAACUUUGUGAUACACUUUCAAAGAGUCGGAUUGUUUGGGAAUGCAGUCCAAAAUGGGUGGUAAAUUUCAUCUAAAGCUAAAUAUUGGCGAGAGACCGAUAGCGAACAAGUACCGUGAGGGAAAGAUGAAAAGAACUUUGAAAAGAGAGUUAAACAGUACGUGAAAUUGUCAAAAGGGAAGCGUUUGACACCAGUGUUGUUUUUCUGAAAAUCAAUUAAAGAACUGUUUAUGCUAAGCUGUUUAGACUUUAUCAGCUAUCUGUUUAGUUUUGAGCUUUUCUUUAAUGCACUUUUCAGUUAACAAGUCAACAUCAAUUUCUUUUGCUGUAAAAAAGCUUGAGGAAGGUGGCUUGAGAUUCGUCUUAAGUGUUUAUAGCCUCUUGCCUAUGCAGUCGGAGAGAUUGAGGUCUGCAGCGUAGAUCCUUCGGGGCUAAAUGCAUUUGUGCUAAGUUAUAGCAUUUUAUAGACAACUUGUUGACUAUGAUUUGUCUUGUAGCUUACUCGCUUAUGUUAUUUUACCUACGCUUAGGAUGUUGAACGCGCACAGAGUCUC
rnacentral:rRNA from 1 species